CACAGAUUCACAGAGAAGACUUUGAGCUGAAGAAGUAUGUUGUUUAUUCACUGCAUCAGUGAGUGAUCAGUCCAGGGACACAAGGCACAGCGUCGUGUUAAAUGCAAGCACACACCUACAUUCAGUGGUGUUGCAAACUGCUGUCAUUGAAGGCAGGCCAUACAGAAAGGAGGAGGUAGUGAAUGGAGGAAGUCUGUGCUGGCAAAGAAGAGAUGGAUAACUGAGUUUCCAAGGCAGUCCUAGGGAGAGACAGAUGAGAUGACCAGAACUGCA